CAAAUUUCAAAUUGUUCAAAAUUCCUCUUAGCUCCAGAUAAAAUCAUCAGGAUGACAGGUUUAACGAGUUUUCACAAGAAUGUUGUAGCGGGCGAAUACCAUUUUGCUAAUGAUGUGUUAAAUUCUCUUUCGAGAUGAGCUCAAUGUUCGAAAAUUUUAUAUAAUGGAAAAAUGAAAGUCACAGGAGAUACAUAUACCACACCAACCAUGAUUUGAUGCGUUUGACGAGCUUAAUGAUCGCAGAUUUUUGCAAUGGAAAUGGAAACCCAAAGAUCAAAACACACCAACCACUAUGGGGCGCGUUUAAUCUUGAGUUAGAAGACUUUUCAACCAUAUUGUAACAACCAUACACAAACACAAGUUUGACACCUUUCAGCUGUUCUCUUCCACCGCCUGUGUUUUGUAGUGAUAGACUUAUUUUUUUAUACGACCAUUUAGCUUCCAUGGUUUACACGAAUGAGCAUCAAAAUAAU